CCUACGGGUGGCAGCAGUGGGGAAUAUUGGACAAUGGGCGAAAGCCUGAUCCAGCCAUGCCGCGUGUGUGAAGAAGGCCUUCGGGUUGUAAAGCACUUUCAGUGGGGAAGAAAGCCUUGGGGCUAAUACCCUCGAGGAAGGACAUCACCCACAGAAGAAGCACCGGCUAACUCCGUGCCAGCAGCCGCGGUAAUACGGAGGGUGCGAGCGUUAAUCGGAAUUACUGGGCGUAAAGCGCGCGUAGGCGGUCUGAUAAGCCGGUUGUGAAAGCCCCGGGCUCAACCUGGGAACGGCAUCCGGAACUGUCAGGCUAGAGUGCAGGAGAGGAAGGUAGAAUUCCCGGUGUAGCGGUGAAAUGCGUAGAGAUCGGGAGGAAUACCAUUGGCGAAGGCGGCCUUCUGGACUGACACUGACGCUGAGGUGCGAAAGCGUGGGUAGCAAACAGGAUUAGAUACCCGGUAGUC
rnacentral:rRNA from 1 species